CUGUACUUCCGGUAGUCGUAGUCGAGCCUCUGCCGCCUGCCCUGCGAAAGCGAGGCCGCGCGGCGGGGGUGGGAUUUCGUCUACCGCGUCUUCAACUCGCCGCAGAGGACACCACACCCGUGGUGGCCAACACGGUCGAGGCGAAGUAACCCUUGCCUAUGAGUACCUUUUCGUUCCCUCGGCGGGCUCGCGCUCGCCGCUGGGCCCAUCCAUACCCCUUUACAGUAGUCGUAUACCUCUGAUCGUGGGCACUUGAAUCUUUA
rnacentral:misc_RNA from 1 species